AGCGUAAGAUACGUCUCAAGUCUCAAGUCUCAAGUCAUCAUGUCUAAAACAUGGAACGUAUCAAAUGUCUCAAGGGCCUAUCUCUAUGUCAUCAUGUCUAAAACAUGGAAUACAGUAGAUGUCAAUGGCCUAUCACUGUCUCUAUAUUGCAGUUUUUCAGUUUGCUGGUUCAUGUGCCCCUUCAUGACACUUUUGUUCACUAAGUCAAAGCAUGAUAAUUAUGUUCAUGAAUACAUAAUUCUAAUCAUUCCCCUCGCACGAGACAUAUAAUCAACUCGCAAAGAUAAACACUUCCACAUGCAUGCACCUUACACAUAUAGCUCUACUAUAUAGAGUGAAAUUUUUAUUAUACAUAACACAUGCAUUUUAAGUGUUCUAAAAUUCACAUAAAUCCCAUUUAGCAUGAAUAUGCAAUCAAAUUGACGUUACGACAAGUAUAAUACACAUAGGGGCCGUUUUGCCCCGAUUUCAUGAAGCCAAACCCACCACAACUCUUGCGACCCUUCGUUUGCUCCGACGAAGGUGCCCACUAGUCUCCUAGCACCCUAAAGAUGUAGGAACAAGAGUUAAACAAACCUUACGAACAU
rnacentral:lncRNA from 1 species